UACGUAGGGGGCGAGAGUUGUCCGGAUUUACUGGGUGUAAAGGGUGCUCAGGUGGAUUUGUAAGUCAGAGGUGAAAUCCCAAAGCUUAACUUUGGAGCUGCCUUUGAUACUGCAAGUCUUGAGAUUGAGAGAGGGUAAUGGAAUAUCUGGUGUAGCAGUGAAAUGCGUAGAUAUCAGAUAGAACACCAAUGGCGAAGGCAGUUACCUGGCUCACAUCUGACGCUAAAGCACGAAAGUGUGGGGAGCAAACAGG
rnacentral:rRNA from 1 species